rnacentral:rRNA from 1 species
UACGGGGGGGGCAAGCGUUGUUCGGAAUUACUGGGUGUAAAGGGUUCGUAGGCGGUGUGGCAAGUCGGGAGUGAAAUCUCUGGGCUCAACUCAGAGACUGCUUCCGAAACUGCUGUGCUGGAGUGUGGGAGAGGCGAGUGGAAUUCCUGGUGUAGCGGUGAAAUGCGCAGAUAUCAGGAGGAACACCUAUUGCGAAGGCAGCUCGCUGGGACGUAACUGACGCUGAGACGCGAAAGCGUGGGGAGCAAACAGG